rnacentral:rRNA from 1 species
AGUGAACGCUGGCGGUAGGCCUAACACAUGCAAGUCGAACGGCAGCACAGUAAGAGCUUGCUCUUACGGGUGGCGAGUGGCGGACGGGUGAGGAAUACAUCGGAAUCUACUUUUUCGUGGGGGAUAACGUAGGGAAACUUACGCUAAUACCGCAUACGACCUACGGGUGAAAGCAGGGGAUCUUCGGACCUUGCGCGAUUGAAUGAGCCGAUGUCGGAUUAGCUAGUUGGCGGGGUAAAGGCCCACCAAGGCGACGAUCCGUAGCUGGUCUGAGAGGAUGAUCAGCCACACUGGAACUGAGACACGGUCCAGACUCCUACGGGAGGCAGCAGUGGGGAAUAUUGGACAAUGGGCGCAAGCCUGAUCCAGCCAGACCGCGUGGUGAAGAAGGCCUUCGGGUUGUAAAGCCCUUUUGUUGGGAAAGAAAAGCAGCAGGUUAAUACCCCGCUGUUCUGACGGUACCCAAAGAAUAAGCACCGGCUAACUUCGUG